rnacentral:rRNA from 1 species
GGGUGGGUAGGGGAGCGUCGUGCAGCCGGGGAAGCGCCGGAGUGAUCCAGGUGUGGAGGCUGCGCGAGUGAGAAUGCAGGCAUGAGUAGCGAAAGACGAGUGAGAAACUCGUCCGCCGAAUGACCAAGGGUUCCUGGGCCAGGUUAAUCCGCCCAGGGUGAGUCGGGACCUAAGGCGAGGCCGACAGGCGUAGUCGAUGGACAACGGGUUGAUAUUCCCGUACCCGUGUGAACGCGCCCCUGGUGAAUCAUCGGUACUAACCGUCCAAAGGGUGAUCGAGUUCCUUCGGGAGCCGAGAGCCUGCUGCACGGGACCUUCGGUGGUAGUAGCCAAGCGAUGGGGUGACGCAGGAAGGUAGUGGGGCCGGUCAGUGGUUGUACCGGUGUAAGCCCGUAGGGCGUGACACAGGCAAAUCCGUGUCGCACAAAGCCUGAGAGGUGAUGCGUAGCCGAAUGAGGCGAAUUCCAUGAUCCUAUGCUGCCGAGAAAAGCCUCUAGCGAGCUUUCACACGGCCCGUACCCCAAACCGACACAGGUGGUCAGGUAGAGAAUACCGAGGCGAUCGAGAGAACUGUGGUUAAGGAACUCGGCAAAAUGCCCCCGUAACUUCGGGAGAAGGGGGACCAGUCCCGGUGACCGGACUUGCUCCGUGAGCCGGGGGUGGUCGCAGAGACCAGAGAGAAGCGACUGUUUACUAAAAACACAGGUCCGUGCGAAGUCGUAAGACGAGGUAUACGGACUGACGCCUGCCCGGUGCUGGAAGGUUAAGAGGACCGGUCAGCGGAGUUCACUCCGCGAAGCUGAGAAUUUAAGCCCCAGUAAACGGCGGUGGUAACUAUAACCAUCCUAAGGUAGCGAAAUUCCUUGUCGGGUAAGUUCCGACCUGCACGAAUGGCGUAACGACUUCUCUGCUGUCUCAACCACAGACUCGGCGAAAUUGCACUACGAGUAAAGAUGCUCGUUACGCGCGGCAGGACGAAAAGACCCCGGGACCUUCACUACAGCUUGGUAUUGGUGUUCGGUUCGGUUUGUGUAGGAUAGGUGGGAGACUGGGAAGCCCGCACGCCAGUGUGGGUGGAGUCGUUGUUGAAAUACCACUCUGAUCGUAUUGGACCUCUAACCUCGGACCCUGAUCGGGUUCAGGGACAGUGCCUGGUGGGUAGUUUAACUGGGGCGGUUGCCUCCCAAAAUGUAACGGAGGCGCCCAAAGGUUCCCUCAGCCUGGUUGGCAAUCAGGUGUCGAGUGCAAGUGCACAAGGGAGCUUGACUGUGAGACCGACAGGUCGAGCAGGGACGAAAGUCGGGACUAGUGAUCCGGCACCGGCAUGUGGAAGCGGUGUCGCUCAACGGAUAAAAGGUACCCCGGGGAUAACAGGCUGAUCUUCCCCAAGAGUCCAUAUCGACGGGAUGGUUUGGCACCUCGAUGUCGGCUCGUCGCAUCCUGGGGCUGGAGUAGGUCCCAAGGGUUGGGCUGUUCGCCCAUUAAAGCGGCACGCGAGCUGGGUUUAGAACGUCGUGAGACAGUUCGGUCUCUAUCCGCCGCGCGCGUUAGAAACUUGAGGAAGGCUGUCCCUAGUACGAGAGGACCGGGACGGACGAACCUCUGGUGUGCCAGUUGUCCCGCCAGGGGCACGGCUGGUUGGCUACGUUCGGAAGGGAUAACCGCUGAAAGCAUCUAAGCGGGAAGCCUGUUCCAAGAUGAGGUUUCUCACCCCCUCGAGGGGGUAAGGCCCCCGGCAGACCACCGGGUUGAUAGGCCGGAACUGGAAGUGCGGUAACGCAUGCAGGUGACCGGUACUAAUAGGCCGAGGACUUACCACAA